rnacentral:rRNA from 1 species
UCGCCUGUUUUAUCAAAAACAUUGCUUUUAGCUUUAUUUAUUAAAAGUAGAUCUGCCCAGUGAAGUAAUUAUAAACCUAAUCUUUCAACGGCCGCGGUAUCCCUGACCGUGCUAAGGUAGCACAAUCAUGUGCCUCUUAAUUAGAGGAUAGAAUGAAUGAAUUAACAAGAAAUAAACUGUCUCUUUUAUAAACAUCGAAAUUUAGAUUUAGGUGAAAACUCCUAAAUUUACUAUAAAGACAGAAAGACCCUAUAAGCUAAUAUUAUAAUACUUUAUUAGUAAAAAAAUAUUUUAUUGGGGCGAUUUUAAGAUUAAAACACUUGUUAAAUAAAGGGCAAUAAACCAAUCAACCUAUCCAAUAGCAUAUAAGUAAGUUACUAUAGGGAUAACAGACUAAUACUUCUUAAGAGCACACAUCAACAGAAGUGCUUAGUACCUCGAUGUUGGCUUAAGGAUCCUAAUUAAUGCAGAAGUUAAAAAGGGAGGUUUGUUCAACCUUUAAUUCCUUACAUGAUCUGAGUUC